rnacentral:rRNA from 1 species
AUUGAACGCUGGCGGCAGGCUUAACACAUGCAAGUCGAACGCUCCGCAAGGAGAGUGGCAGACGGGUGAGUAACACGUGGGAACGUACCCUUUACUACGGAACAACUCCGGGAAACUGGAGCUAAUACCGUAUGUGCCCUUCGGGGGAAAGAUUUAUCGGUAAAGGAUCGGCCCGCGUUGGAUUAGCUAGUUGGUGGGGUAAAGGCCUAUCAAGGCGACGAUCCAUAGCUGGUCUGAGAGGAUGAUCAGCCACAUUGGGACUGAGACACGGCCCAAACUCCUACGGGAGGCAGCAGUGGGGAGUAUUGGACAAUGGGCGCAAGCCUGAUCCAGCCAUGCCGCGUGUGUGAUGAAGGCCUUAGGGUUGUAAAGCACUUUCACCGGAGAAGAUAAUGACGGUAUCCGGAGAAGAAGCCCCGGCUAACUUCGUGCCAGCCGCCGCAGUAACAC